rnacentral:rRNA from 1 species
AUGGUCAGUGCCAAGAGACUUGCUCAGAUGGCAAAGAACUGGCAAAGGAUGGCGGCCAUGGGGAGGAAGAGGCUCACCCGGACCACGACAGCAGCGGCGAAAGGGUCCAUCAUAGAGAAUGAGUGCAGCACAGCGUUGUCGCCGUCGGUGGCGAUGAAGGGCCACUGUGUGGUGUACACGGCCGACAACAGUGCGCGGUUUGAGGUGCCGCUGGCAUACCCCAGCACGGCGUUCUUCAGCGAGCUCCUGACCAUGUCCCAGGAGGCGUUCGGCUUUGCAGGCGGCAAUGACGGGAGGAUUAUGCUGCCCUGCGAUGCCACGGUCCUGGAGUACGCCAUGUGCUUGCUCCGGAGAGAUGCCUCCGUGGAAGUCAUGAGAGUGUUCAUGAGCUCCGUCGCGAGGCCAUGCAGCAGCUUUGAAGGCGGCGCGGUGGCGCCAUGCGUAGGGCUUGGUCAUGAAGUAGCUGCUUGUUAG